rnacentral:rRNA from 1 species
GAUGAACGCUAGCGGCAGGCCUAAUACAUGCAAGUCGAACGGUAAUGGCGCCAGCAAUGGCGCCACAAGAGUGACGCACGGGUGCGUAACACGUAUGCAACCUACCCUUUACAGGAGUAUAGCUCGGGGAAACUCGAAUUAACCCUUCAUAGUAUAAAUGAAUGGCAUCAUUUGUUUAUUAAAUCUGAGGAGGUAAAGGAUGGGCAUGCGUCUGAUUAGCUAGUUGGUAGUGUAAUGGACUACCAAGGCGAUGAUCAGUAGGGGAACUGAGAGGUUGAUCCCCACCAC